ACGUAGGGUGCGAGCGUUGUCCGGAAUUACUGGGCGUAAAGGGCUCGUAGGCGGAUUGACGCGUCGGCUGUGAAAUUCCGGGGCUUAACUCCGGGCGAGCAGGUGAUACGGGCCUAACUAGAGUACUGUAGGGGAGCCUGGAAUUCCUGGUGUAGCGGUGAAAUGCGUAGAUAUUAGGAGGAACACCGAUGGCGAAGGCAGCGUACUGGGGUGUUACUGACGCUGAGGAGCGAAAGCAUGGGUAGCAAACAG
rnacentral:rRNA from 1 species